UCGAGCACGCGCGUGUGGCAUAUCAAUAAGCGGAGGAAAAGAAACUAACAAGGAUUCCCUUAGUAACGGCGAGUGAAGCGGGAAGAGCUCAAAUUUGAAAUCUUCAAGGUUUUACCUCGACGAAUUGUAGUUUAAAGAAGUGUUUUUCUGUUGGAGUUUUGGUAAAAGUUCUUUGGAAUAGGACAUCAUAGAGGGUGAGAAUCCCGUAUUUGGUCAUUCCUCCUAGCGUUGUGAUACACUUUCAACGAGUCGGAUUGUUUGGGAAUGCAGUCCAAAAUGGGUGGCAAAUUUCAUCUAAAGCUAAAUAUUGGCGAGAGACCGAUAGCGAACAAGUACCGUGAGGGAAAGAUGAAAAGAACUUUGAAAAGAGAGUUAAACAGUACGUGAAAUUGUCAAAAGGGAAGCGUUUGACACCAGUGUUGUUUUUCCGAAAAUCAAUUACGAAUGUUUUGUUUUUGAGGAGUUAUGACUUCAUCGGCUUGCUCCUUUCUUUAUGAAACUUUCUUAAUGCACUUUUCGGUUAACAAGUCAACAUCAAUUUCUUUUGUUGUAAAGAGGGUAUGAGGAAGGUGGCUUUCUUUUCGGAGAAAGUGUUUAUAGCCUUGUGCCUCUAGCAAUCGGAGAGAUUGAGGUCUGCAGCGUAGAUCCUUCGGGGUUAGAUACGUUUGUGCUAAGUUAUAGCUUUUCAUAGACAACUUGUUGACUAUGUUUAGUCUUGUAGCUUACUCGCUGACGCUAUUUUACCUACGCUUAGGAUGUUGAGUAGCGACAUACGCAC
rnacentral:rRNA from 1 species